rnacentral:rRNA from 1 species
AUUGAACGCUGGCGGCAUGCCUUACACAUGCAAGUCGAACGGCAGCACGGGAGCUUGCUCCUGGUGGCGAGUGGCGAACGGGUGAGUAAUACAUCGGAACGUACCCAGGAGUGGGGGAUAACGUAGCGAAAGUUACGCUAAUACCGCAUAUUCUGUGAGCAGGAAAGCGGGGGAUCGCAAGACCUCGCGCUCUUGGAGCGGCCGAUGUCGGAUUAGCUAGUUGGUGAGGUAAAAGCUCACCAAGGCGACGAUCCGUAGCAGGUCUGAGAGGAUGAUAUGCCACACUGGGACUGAGACACGGCCCAGACUCCUACGGGAGGCAGCAGUGGGGAAUUUUGGACAAUGGGGGCAACCCUGAUCCAGCCAUGCCGCGUGAGUGAAGAAGGCCUUCGGGUUGUAAAGCUCUUUCGGCGGGGAAGAAAUGGCAACGGCUAAUAUCCGUUGUUGAUGACGGUACCCGCAUAAGAAGCACCGGCUAACUACGUGCCAGCCGCCGCAGUAAUAC